CUCCAGACUCCUACGGGAGGCAGCAGUGGGGAAUAUUGCACAAUGGGGGAAACCCUGAUGCAGCAACGCCGCGUGAGUGAAGAAGUAUUUCGGUAUGUAAAGCUCUCUCAGCAGGGAAGAAAAUGACGGUACCUGAAGAAGAAGCCCCGGCUAACUACGUGCCAGCAGCCGCGGUAAUACGUAGGGGGCAAGCGUUAUCCGGAUUUACUGGGUGUAAAGGGGGCGCAGACGGCGAUGCAAGCCAGGAGUGAAAGCCCGGGGCCCAACCCCGGGACUGCUCUUGGAACUGCGUGGCUGGAGUGCAGGAGGGGCAGGCGGAAUUCCUGGUGUAGCGGUGAAAUGCGUAGAUAUCAGGAGGAACACCGGUGGCGAAGGCGGCCUGCUGGACUGCAACUGACGUUGAGGCCCGAAAGCGUGGGGAGCAAACAGGAUUAGAUACCCCCGUA
rnacentral:rRNA from 1 species